rnacentral:rRNA from 1 species
UACGUAGGAUGCAAGCGUUGUCCGGAAUUAUUGGGCGUAAAGAGUUCGUAGGCGGUGAUUUAAGUCUGAUGUUAAAGCCCGGAGCUCAACUCCGGCAUGGCAUUGGAAACUGGAUUGCUAGAGUGUGAUAGAGGUAACUGGAAUUCCAGGUGUAGCGGUGAAAUGCGUAGAUAUCUGGAGGAACACCGGUGGCGAAAGCGAGUUACUGGAUCACAACUGACGCUGAGGAACGAGAGCCAGGGUAG